rnacentral:tRNA from 1 species
CCUAUUAGCUCAAUUGGUAGAGCUUUGUGCAUUGUACAAUGAUGUAGGUUCGAAUCCUACAUAGG